UGAUGACAUUCUCCGGAAUCUCUGUACAUCUUUGAUGAUGCACUUUGAACCCCUUUGCUGAUGACUGUUGUGCUGUU